UUCUCCCUGUUGGUGAAGCUGGCCUCAAACUCGCGACCUCAGGUAUUCGAUGAGAUCAGGAGCAUGCCCAGCUCUCCACUGCGGGCUUCAUGUAAGAGGAGAGCCAUGAUAAUGUAUUGCAUUAUUCUUGUACAGUAAUCAGAUCAUAGGUCAAAAAGGACACACGGUUUCUGGCCUGUCUGCUUGGAACACUUGCUCUAGACACCUGGCUGCCAUAGGAGAGGCCAACGUGAAAAGGAACCAACGCCCCAGACGAUAGCCCCAGCAGGGCUCUUACCCAGCAGCCUGCACCGUGGAAGUGAGCCACCUUGGAAGUGAAUUCUCCAGACCUGUAGAGCUACACCAGCUCAUUCCAUGAGAAGCAGAAAUGAGCUGCCCAGCUGAGUCCUUCCCAAAUUCUGGCACACAAGAUUGUAAACAAGACUAUUUUAAAUUCUCAAAUUUUGAAUGCAGUUUGUUAUGCAGUAAUAGAUAAUCAGAGAAGGAGUAGAGAAUAGUAUAUAAAGUCAACACAGAACCAAAAAAGAAGAUCAAAUUUUAGGUGACAUGUUUUGUUUCCAAUUAUUAUUAUUGAAACAUUAAAUCCUUCCUGAGUGUAAGUGAUCCAGAUGAAAUGAAAGUAAUUGGAAAAGUCUUGACUGUGUUAUGAGGCCUUAGAGAAAAUAAAAUCCCUUUAACACAUGAUUCCCAAAGCACAAAAUAAAAUAUAUUCAAAAUGUUAUGGCAUUGAAAUCCAUGAGUGUCCUUUC
rnacentral:lncRNA from 1 species